AACAGGAACACAGAGUAUAGUAUAAGAUUCUUUCAAACAAACAUCUUUCUUUGCAGUAGAAUAAUAUGUAGGCAUACACUGUGGCUUGUGUAGGUCCCUUUUUACAUUCAACCUACAUGAUCCCUCUCCGCAAUUACAGCAGCUCACGGUUCAUCACAGUCUACAAUCACUUUCGUUCAAAGCCUCAACCUGUUUUUCUAUUGUAGCAGAAGAGGGAAAAACAAUCAGGAAAAAAGCAACAAUCUCAUUCAAUAUUAUCACUCUCUUUAGCCACGCUACCUGACUUACUAUGACCUUCAUAAAGUUACAUCCAAAUCCCUCAUCUUUUAUCCUCCAAAUAACACUGGAGAGUUUCCACACACCAUGGGUCAUAAAUCACAAUGCAGCACACACAGCCACACACAAUAGCACCAUAGCAGCAAAUAUGUUGUAGGAAAAAUUUGUUGAAGGAAAG